GCUACCGAUCGAAUCACAGUGAUUAAACCCAGGCCUGCCAUAUCAACGUUUAGUUGCAUUAUGCGUUUAUAGUUGACGGAACCUUGAUCCACUUGAAUAUAAUGGCGACAGUUGGAUGCAACACUCGAUACGCAGGCGACGCGCGACGAGAAAGUUCGAUUUCCUUUCUCGUUUGCCCAGGAUUCUUUCGCUAUCCGGCAACAAUAGAGUUAUUCUUAUAACCAAUCUAUCGAGAUAUCGACGGGGAAGGUGAUCGAAGCAACGAUGCCAUUACUGCGGAAUAACGAAAGAUAUUGGACGAUAAUGCCCUAUUUAGAGGAGGACUCACCGCUUUGCGUCCAACUGUCGGUGUCGUGGCGGAGUGUGGACCAGUCGUCCUCCAGGUCCCGGGAAGUCGCCAUGGCCGAUGAUCGAAGGUGUCGUCGUCCUCGCGUCGACGCCACGUGCCUGUCGUUCUCUUCAGGAUCGCGAGGAAUUUGCAAUCGACUUCGCACAGUCGCGCGAAUUGCCUUCCAGCCCGUCUUCGGUUUGGGAGAUCCUUAUUGGAGUCCUGCACUACGCGUUCCGCAUCGGACAAUCGCCAGCGACUUUAUAUUUACAUAUGGAUACAUGGAUUUGAUUGGGAAAUCGCACGAGAGGACAAUUUCUAGGAUAUCGAUGUAACAGAUAUUACACAUCGGUGCUCUCGGUUUACAGAAUCGCGACAAGACACGAACCUAAGUUGGAGCGCACACACACACACACACACACAUACACACAGACUGGGCGUUGUAACGACAAACCCGGUUCUACACAUACGAUAAACAUACACACACAUGGAUUUGUUCCACCUCUACUCACUGUCGCCUUUACCGCUACGAAGAACCGCGCGAUUUUCGCGCUGUUUAUUUUUAAAGGAGCGGUUAACUUGGUAUGUGUGUGCGUGUGUCGGUGAUAUACAUAUACAUAUACUUUGAGAGACGCUUACUGAUGUAACUUGUUAACCGCUGUUUUCGUUUUUGCAAUGCCCGAUAAAGGUAAAGCUUUUUUUGGCUCGUUCUCAACUUGGAUGCAAUUAUCGUUCUUACAAUUAGAAUAGACGUUGACAAUUUGAAAUUAGCGAUAAUAAUCGAUAAUUGAUAGACAUGCACCUAUUAUUGACUCAUUAUUCUUAUCGUAUUAUUAUUACUCUACUAUCGCCAAUUUUUUCCUCCAAAUCAUAAAAAAAUAUAAAAAAUGUUUCUUAAUAUUAUAUUGUGCGAAUAAUUCCUAGGCGCAAAUUGUACAUAUUAAAAUCAUUUAUAAAGAUGUUUUAAUUACACGACACUUUAAUUAUACAAAGGUAUCGAAUUUGUGAUUUUCUUAUAAGGAAACGCUAAUGUAUCUAAAAUAGAAAAACUAAUUUACAUAAACGUAUACGAAGAUUAUUUAUUCCUUACUACAAGUUCAGACACACGAAGCGAUCGAAGACACGACGAGUACUCUUUAAAAAAAAAAGUAAGAACGUAUUAU